AUGCAUUCAAGUUUGCAGGAACGCACACUAGGAAUCUGGCAUAUACUUCAUUUGACUUUUUCCCUCACCAUCCACUCAGUCCCUCAGACAUCUAAAGCCAACCCUCGCCCUCAGCUCUGCCACAGCCGGAAAAAGAUCCAAGUUCAGUUUUCAAGCAUUUGUCUCUUACAUCAUCGUCAGCCCCGUCCACUAGACUUGGAAUCAACAUCAAGGUUUAGCUCACUGUCAAUGCAAAGGAAAGAAGAGAAAAGAAAAGGCCCCAUGGUUCAUCAGGAGCAUCGUAACCAGAACCAUUCUUGGUUCCCUCUUCUGCAUCCUGGAGCAUCUCUCGGCCAUGAGCAGCAGGAACCCCAUGACUCUCAGCAAUGACCUGUUUGGAGACCCAACAGCCUCACCAGCCACUUGAGUGUAAAGGGACAACAAUCGUUAGCACGUGAGUGUUCCUCGCCUUUCUCUCCGCCGUGCUCCCCAGGGGGACCAGGAGCAAUCUGGCUUUCCAGUGUUGGCCCCCUUCAGCCCUCUAAGGUCAGUCCGGUUUUCUGAAGGGACACUCUUGGGCUUCAGAUAGAGAUGUGGGUAAAAAUGAGCAGGAGAAAAUGACCAGAGAAGUGUGGGAGGCUGGAGGGACUUGUCGGAGUGCUUCAGAAAGCGGUUGUAGCCUGCGGGAGCCACGGAUAGAAGAAGAAAAAGGGAGACUGUGAGACUUGUCAGAGCCCCUGUUUCCCGUUCACACAGGGCAUUUGAGAAGUGCAAGGAGAGGGCUUGAUUUAUUUUGAAAUUACUCCUGAUUGCAUGGACUGUGUUCUUUCAGCCGUAACACUUCUCCAAGACCAAACCUCAUGGGGCGUGACUUCAUAAGCAUGACGCUGGUGUUUCCAAAACUGGGUCUUGUGAGGCUGGGGGGGAGCGUGACGAGGGAGUGGGGGUGGAGGGGCCGAGAGCAAGGACUGAGCUGUACAGAGUGAGAAAGUUCCCGUGCCUCAGUCAUCACCAAAACCACCAGAUAGCUGUGGCUUUUCAGUGAUUUCAAGGCCCAACGCGUUUUCAUUUCUUUUUCUUUGAGGAGUGAUGAAGAGGUUGUGGGACUCUUUGAGGCAGGGGGUAAAGAGAAAAGAAUUAGAGGACAAAGAAAAGGUGUGCUGAAUUGAAGCAAUUCUAAUAAAAUGUCUACUUGUUUUUACUUAGAAUCUCUG
rnacentral:lncRNA from 1 species